rnacentral:rRNA from 1 species
AAAAAAAAAAAUAAUUUUAAUAAAUUAAUUUAUAUUAAAAUGAUUAAAUUAGUAAUUAUAAUUUGUAUAUAUAUAUAUAUAUAUAUGUAUAUUAUUAAGGAAUUAGGCAAAAAUUAUAUAUUCACCUGUUUAACAAAAACAUGUCUUUUUGAUUAUAAUUUAAAGUCAGUUCUGCUCAAUGAGGGAUUAAAUAGCUGCAGUAUAUUGACUGUACAAAGGUAGCAUAAUCAUUUGUCUUUUAAUUGAAGGCUGGAAUGAAUGAAUUAAUGAAAUAUAGACUGUCUCAAUUAUAUAAAAUAAAUUUAAAUUUUAAGUAAAAAUGCUUAAUUUAAUUUGAGGGACGAUAAGACCCUAUAGAAUUUAAUAUAUUUUUAAUUUAUAUAUUAUAUAAAUUAUAUUAUAUAUUUAAUUGGGAGGAUUUUUAAAUUUAAAUAACUUUAAUAAUAUUUUAAAAUAUUGAUUAAUAGAUUAAAAUGAUAUAUUUUUAAUAAUAAAAGAAAAAAUUACCUUAGGGAUAACAGCGUAAUAUUUUUGGAUAGAUCAAAUUGAAAAGAAUGUUUGCGACCUCGAUGUUGAAUUAAAAUAAAUUAUAAAUGUAGGUAUUUAUAAAUUUAGUCUGUUCGACUAUUAAAAUUUUACAUGAUUUGAGUUCAGAUCGACGUGAGUCAGAUUGGUUUCUAUCUUCAAAAAAAUUUAAUUUUUUUGUACGAAAGGACU